UUCAAAGAUUCAGAGGAUUCAGACAGCAGUCACUAACUUUACUUCUAGGGGAAUUCUGCACCACUGCACGUGCACAGAAUUCAUGUUCCUCACAGAUUUAUUUGCUUCCCUGCAGAAAAAUGACUCUCUGAUGGGGAAGCAAAGGGAAGCCGCAAAAGGGUCAUGCGCCGCUCCCCAGCAGCACGGGUGCAUUGUUUCGGGCAUCUGGAGCAGCCAGCAAAGAGGCACUGCCAUGUUGGAGUUGGCAGUUGAGGAAUACUGAUAGAUGAGAAUAAAGCCUUCAAUAGCUCCAUGUACAGGGCGGGUUAAAUCUGCUGCUGCUCUUCUGAUUCCUCACUAGAGGGUGAUACGUCAAUAAGGAUGGGAAGAUUGCGUGGCAGAUGGAUGAUGGGUGAAAAACCUGAGAGAAAACAAUGAGGGCAGCUGGUUCCUGGUGACUGCUCAGGUGACUAAGCUGAGGUUCUGGCCCAUGUGUGCCAAUGGAUCUAUCUUGCUUUAAGAAUAACAGGAUGUACGUACACAUUUGUAGAUAAUCUUCACAAAGUGCGAAAACAAAUUACACAAUACUCACUCCACAUCAGUUUCUCUCCAAAAAUUGAAACUGAACUACUGCAAGGACCUGAAAUCAAAUGUGAUUAGCCUCGUGACAUUACACAUUCACAC